rnacentral:tRNA from 1 species
GGGGGUAUAGCUCAAGUGGUAGAGCGCAUGCUUAGCAUGCACGAGGUCCUGGGUUCAAUCCCCAGUACUUCCU